CCUACGGGAGGCAGCAGUGAGGAAUAUUGGUCAAUGGACGAGAGUCUGAACCAGCCAAGUAGCGUGAAGGAUGACUGCCCUAUGGGUUGUAACCUUCUUUUAUAAAGGAAUAAAACGAGGCACGUGUGCCUUUUUGCAUUUACUUUAUGAAUAAGGCUCGGCUAACUCCGUGCCAGCAGCCGCGGUAAUACGGAGGAUCCGAUCGUUAUCCGGAUUUAUUGGGUUUAAAGGGAGCGUAGAUGGGUUGUUAAGUCAGUUGUGAAAGUUUGCGGCUCAACCGUAAAAUUGCAAUUGAUACUGGCAGUCUUGAGUACAGUUGAGGUAGGCGGAAUUCGUGGUGUAGCGGUGAAAUGCUUAGAUAUCACGAAGAACCCCGAUUGCGAAGGCAGCUUACUAAACUGUGACUGACAUUGAUGCUCGAAAGUGUGGGUAUCAAACAGGAUUAGAUACCCCUGUAGUC
rnacentral:rRNA from 1 species